rnacentral:rRNA from 1 species
ACCCAGUGUGUUUCGACACACUAUCAUUAACUGAAUCCAUAGGUUAAUGAGGCGAACCGGGGGAACUGAAACAUCUAAGUACCCCGAGGAAAAGAAAUCAACCGAGAUUCCCCCAGUAGCGGCGAGCGAACGGGGAGGAGCCCAGAGCCUGAAUCAGUGUGUGUGUUAGUGGAAGCGUCUGGAAAGGCGUGCGAUACAGGGUGACAGCCCCGUACACAAAAAUGCACAUAUUGUGAGCUCGAUGAGUAGGGCGGGACACGUGGUAUCCUGUCUGAAUAUGGGGGGACCAUCCUCCAAGGCUAAAUACUCCUGACUGACCGAUAGUGAACCAGUACCGUGAGGGAAAGGCGAAAAGAACCCCGGCGAGGGGAGUGAAAAAGAACCUGAAACCGUGUACGUACAAGCAGUGGGAGCCUCUUAAUGGGGUGACUGCGUACCUUUUGUAUAAUGGGUCAGCGACUUAUAUUCUGUAGCAAGGUUAACCGAAUAGGGGAGCCGAAGGGAAACCGAGUCUUAACUGGGCGUUAAGUUGCAGGGUAUAGACCCGAAACCCGGUGAUCUAGCCAUGGGCAGGUUGAAGGUUGGGUAACACUAACUGGAGGACCGAACCGACUAAUGUUGAAAAAUUAGCGGAUGACUUGUGGCUGGGGGUGAAAGGCCAAUCAAACCGGGAGAUAGCUGGUUCUCCCCGAAAGCUAUUUAGGUAGCGCCUCGUGAAUUCAUCUCCGGGGGUAGAGCACUGUUUCGGCAAGGGGGUCAUCCCGACUUACCAACCCGAUGCAAACUGCGAAUACCGGAGAAUGUUAUCACGGGAGACACACGGCGGGUGCUAACGUCCGUCGUGAAGAGGGAAACAACCCAGACCGCCAGCUAAGGUCCCAAAGUCAUGGUUAAGUGGGAAACGAUGUGGGAAGGCCCAGACAGCCAGGAUGUUGGCUUAGAAGCAGCCAUCAUUUAAAGAAAGCGUAAUAGCUCACUGGUCGAGUCGGCCUGCGCGGAAGAUGUAACGGGGCUAAACCAUGCACCGAAGCUGCGGCAGCGACACUAUGUGUUGUUGGGUAGGGGAGCGUUCUGUAAGCCUGUGAAGGUGGCCUGUGAGGGUUGCUGGAGGUAUCAGAAGUGCGAAUGCUGACAUAAGUAACGAUAAAGCGGGUGAAAAGCCCGCUCGCCGGAAGACCAAGGGUUCCUGUCCAACGUUAAUCGGGGCAGGGUGAGUCGACCCCUAAGGCGAGGCCGAAAGGCGUAGUCGAUGGGAAACAGGUUAAUAUUCCUGUACUUGGUGUUACUGCGAAGGGGGGACGGAGAAGGCUAUGUUGGCCGGGCGACGGUUGUCCCGGUUUAAGCGUGUAGGCUGGUUUUCCAGGCAAAUCCGGAAAACCAAGGCUGAGGCGUGAUGACGAGGCACUACGGUGCUGAAGCGACAAAUGCCCUGCUUCCAGGAAAAGCCUCUAAGCAUCAGGUAACAUCAAAUCGUACCCCAAACCGACACAGGUGGUCAGGUAGAGAAUACCAAGGCGCUUGAGAGAACUCGGGUGAAGGAACUAGGCAAAAUGGUGCCGUAACUUCGGGAGAAGGCACGCUGAUAUGUAGGUGAAGCGACUUGCUCGUGGAGCUGAAAUCAGUCGAAGAUACCAGCUGGCUGCAACUGUUUAUUAAAAACACAGCACUGUGCAAACACGAAAGUGGACGUAUACGGUGUGACGCCUGCCCGGUGCCGGAAG